rnacentral:rRNA from 1 species
GGUGCUUUACACAUGCAAGUUGAGACGAGGCGGUAGCAUACCGAGUCGAGUCGGCGAACGGGUGAGUAACGCGUGGAUAACCUGCCCUGAGGUGGGGAAUAACCCGGGGAAACUCGGGCUAAUACCGCAUGAUACCGAGAGGUCAAAGAGGGCUCGCAAGGGCUCUUGCCACAGGAGGGGUCCGCGUUCGAUUAGCUAGUUGGUAGGGUAAUGGCCUACCAAGGUCGACGAUCGAUAGCCGGCCUGAGAGGGUGAUCGGCCACACUGGAACUGAGACACGGUCCAGACUCCUACGGGAGGCAGCAGGUGGGGAAUUUUGCGCAAUUGGGCUAACGCCUGACGCAGCAACGCCGCGUGAAGGAUGAAGGUCUAUGGAUUGUAAACUCCUGUCAGACAGGGAAAAAGGGAAGGGGACUAAUACGCUCCUGACUUGAUAGUACCUGCAGAGGAAG